GACGGAGGAUGCAGGCGUUAUCCGGAAUUAUUGGGCGUAAAGCGUCCGCAGGUGGCUGUUCAAGUCUGCUGUCAAAGCGCAGAGCUUAACUCUGUACAGGCGGUGGAAACUGAAGAGCUAGAGUAUGGUAGGGGUAGAGGGAAUUCCCGGUGUAGCGGUGAAAUGCGUAGAUAUCGGGAAGAACACCAGUGGCGAAAGCGCUCUACUGGGCCAUAACUGACACUGAGGGACGAAAGCUAGGGGAGCGAAAGGG
rnacentral:rRNA from 1 species